rnacentral:RNase_P_RNA from 1 species
GGAGUCGGCCAGACAGUCGCCGUGCCACGGCUACGCCGCUGGGCAUGGAGGAAAGUCCGGGCUCCACAGGGCAGGGUGCCAGGUAACGCCUGGGGGGCGCGAGCCUACGGAAAGUGCCACAGAAAAUAUACCGCCACGCCGGCAAUGGUGCGGUAAGGGUGAAAUGGUGCGGUAAGAGCGCACCGCGCCGGUGGCAACACCGGUGGCAGGGUAAACCCCACCCGGAGCAAGACCAAAUAGGGGAGCGUAGUGCGGCCCGCACGGCUCCCGGGUAGGUCGCUUGAGGUGUGCGGUGACGUACAUCCCAGAUGAAUGGCUGUCCACGACAGAACCCGGCUUAUCGGCCGACUCCCACU